UGGCGGCAGGCCUAACACAUGCAAGUCGAACGGUAACAGGAAGCAGCUUGCUGCUUUGCUGACGAGUGGCGGACGGGUGAGUAAUGUCUGGGAAACUGCCUGAUGGAGGGGGAUAACUACUGGAAACGGUAGCUAAUACCGCAUAACGUCGCAAGACCAAAGAGGGGGACCUUCGGGCCUCUUGCCAUCGGAUGUGCCCAGAUGGGAUUAGCUAGUAGGUGGGGUAACGGCUCACCUAGGCGACGAUCCCUAGCUGGUCUGAGAGGAUGACCAGCCACACUGGAACUGAGACACGGUCCAGACUCCUACGGGAGGCAGCAGUGGGGAAUAUUGCACAAUGGGCGCAAGCCUGAUGCAGCCAUGCCGCGUGUAUGAAGAAGGCCUUCGGGUUGUAAAGUACUUUCAGCGGGGAGGAAGGGAGUAAAGUUAAUACCUUUGCUCAUUGACGUUACCCGCAGAAGAAGCACCGGCUAACUCCGUGCCAGCAGCCGCGGUAAUACGGAGGGUGCAAGCGUUAAUCGGAAUUACUGGGCGUAAAGCGCACGCAGGCGGUUUGUUAAGUCAGAUGUGAAAUCCCCGGGCUCAACCUGGGAACUGCAUCUGAUACUGGCAAGCUUGAGUCUCGUAGAGGGGGGUAGAAUUCCAGGUGUAGCGGUGAAAUGCGUAGAGAUCUGGAGGAAUACCGGUGGCGAAGGCGGCCCCCUGGACGAAGACUGACGCUCAGGUGCGAAAGCGUGGGGAGCAAACAGGAUUAGAUACCCUGGUAGUCCACGCCGUAAACGAUGUCGACUUGGAGGUUGUGCCCUUGAGGCGUGGCUUCCGGAGCUAACGCGUUAAGUCGACCGCCUGGGGAGUACGGCCGCAAGGUUAAAACUCAAAUGAAUUGACGGGGGCCCGCACAAGCGGUGGAGCAUGUGGUUUAAUUCGAUGCAACGCGAAGAACCUUACCUGGUCUUGACAUCCACGGAAGUUUUCAGAGAUGAGAAUGUGCCUUCGGGAACCGUGAGACAGGUGCUGCAUGGCUGUCGUCAGCUCGUGUUGUGAAAUGUUGGGUUAAGUCCCGCAACGAGCGCAACCCUUAUCCUUUGUUGCCAGCGGUCCGGCCGGGAACUCAAAGGAGACUGCCAGUGAUAAACUGGAGGAAGGUGGGGAU
rnacentral:rRNA from 1 species